GGGCUUGAGGCGCGUGGUGCGCAUCCUCACUAUAUAUGUUGACUGUCAAAGAUAUGAGGAAGGUGUGGGUUCGAAUCCCACCAUGCCCU